rnacentral:tRNA from 1 species
GACCUAGUGGCUCAAUGGUUAAGCACUUGGCUGCUAACCAAAAGAUUGGUGAUUUGAACUCUCCCGGUGGCU